UGAGAUAUUCUGUAGAUUUGUGAUUGCUAGAUUGAAAUACGAGAAUUUUGGUUUCAAUUGCAAGAAUGCAACCUUUUAAUAUGGGUCCAUGUAGAUAUUGAUGGGCAUAAUGUAUUUUCUUGAAAGAUAGUCGCACAAUGGGUUUCAAAGAAUAUGGGACCACUAGAGGCUAUGCUUUUAGGUUAGAAAUGUAACGGCCCCAGAAAUUUAA
rnacentral:lncRNA from 1 species